UGUGACUUGAAGUACAUGGCUACAUGAUGAAUACCAGCAGUGAUGAAACCUAAGAGUAGCAAUGAACAUGGUGUUUCAAACCACGGAAAUACUUGGGAGCCCAAGAAAAUCUUAAUUGUAAUAAUUUCAUUGCAGCAUUCGAAAGCAAUUGUCUACCGUUGAAUAAGAAUCCUGAAAACAAAAGCCAAGAGAAGAAAAAUUGUGAAGAAAAAAAAAUUAAAGCACAGGAUUUGAUCGAAUGUAGAAGUGGAGACAAUUUUUGGAGUGAGCGAUGACGGUGAAGGAACUAUAUAGAUAGUUGUAGGGAUGUGUAAAGAAUGGUGGUUGUAGGGCAGGAGAGUCAUUCUUUUAUACAAUCCCGUUCCAUUUUUAUUAUAAAUAGUCUUUUUAGCCGCUGAAUGUAGCUGGGACAUGAAAUAUUGGAAUUGUAGUGUCAGGACAUUUGGCAUGCUAUG